rnacentral:lncRNA from 1 species
CGUGAGGGACCCUCUGGGAGGCCUGUUGAUACAGGUUUGUCAGUGGAACAGACAGCUCACUGUGGCUUCCAUUUACAAGCUUCUUAAACUAGCUUCUAAACUAGCUUUUAACAAAGAAAAUGUGUUAAAGUACCAAUAAAACUGCUCUAAUAAGCCCUCCAUAGCAAACUCCUAAUUGAAGCUCAUAAAGAGAGCUCUAAACAGUAUUUAAAGUGCAAAGAAAACAUAUUGGUCCUCAAUGCAAACAAGUAGAUGUAGUGCUGAUGCAUUUUAUUUGACCAACAUGAAAGCUGCAGAACACAAAAAUGUAGGUAUGGGAUGUGUGUGGUUAGAAAGCUGGUUAUUGGCCUUACAAUCAGGUUUAAAAUCUCUCUCUACAACUGGCAAGGAGUUGUACAACAGCACAUCCAACCUGCCCUCAUCCAGAAACUUGUAAAAAUGCUUUAUCACUUAUUCCCUUUCUUAUAAUAACAGAUGUACCUGUACCUGAAAUGGGACAGUAGCAUUGCUCACUGCCUUGUGAUUUACUUCUGCAUUCCAUUGGUCCUGUGUCACAGUUUAGGCCCUUCAUGACAGCACAAAAACUUAAAUUACUCUGCACCGUGUUGAGGGCUUCCCAUGACCCUUCUUGACCCCUGCCAGGCACCUGCUUGCUGAAAGUAUCUCACUGACUGAGAUCCUCAGUCAGAUAACCAUCAGGCUCCUCCCCAACAUGGAGAACACAUGGCUUCUCCAUGGCUUAAGGGGAGAGAAGUGCAUACAAAUGGUAAAGUAGAGGAAAGGGAAAUUACAUUUGAGAAUGGUGUAUCUUGGAGAAAACAUGCCAACACAUAGCAACACAUCUCACCUCACCACAACGCCUAUAUCUUUGGGAAGCAAGCUUAGAAGCAAAUAUAUUCUCCUCCUGGUUGUAUAUCCAGCCACGAGCUCUACAAAACAGAGUUCCCAUCAACAGUUUGCAGCUGCCUGUUUAGCUCAAGAUGGAGAGCAGAGAUUAAGAACAGCUUAAUAGGAGAGAACACCUGGAGCAGAGCCUGCCAGCAGCUCCUGCGUUCCCAGAAACGGCUCCACAAAAGGAAAGGGCCAAAGGCAAUCUCCCUUUGACAGGGAACAGUGACAUGACCCUAAUUGCAAUGGGGAUUGUAGCCACCCUCCUGCUCUGCUCCACAGAGCUCGAUGGCUAUAAAGUUUUAUUUGUAUGACAUUUUGUUUUCCCAUUCUUGCAAAGUUCUGCAUUUGUUGACUUUGUGUCAGCUGAUGAAUUGAGUAUUAGCGAUGCUUUGGGUGAAAUCCUGGGCCCGCCAAGCAGGAGGGGAGUUAAAUUCAGAGGUUAUGAUUGAAUUUCCAUACCUGUUCUUUGUGUAUGACAGCUUGUGUGACCAGAUCUUGAGGUAAUUCACAAAGAGGAAAACACACCCUAAUUGUCACCCCAUCUUUGAGUAUGCUAGAUAUAUUUCACAUAUUGAAAACAGAGGAAUAGACUCCCUUGGAUGUGAAGAUCAUAUGACAUUGUGCAACAUUUUGUGGACAAAUCCUUGGCUACCUUCCGUAGGAAGUAUGUGUUAUAUUAUUU